rnacentral:tRNA from 1 species
GGGGAUUUAGCUCAGUGGUAGAGCGCUUGCCUAGCAUGCACAAGGCCCUGGGUUCGGUCCCCAGUUCCA